rnacentral:lncRNA from 1 species
ACCGAAAAUUUUCUAUUUGUCUAAAUAUGAUGACGUAGAAAAGAAAGAAAAAAGCUAGUAUGCCCUAUUCAUGUGAUUUAAUGCAGAGGAUGACCAACGUAUUGAAACACUUUUAGUCCCAAUCAGAGAUUAAUGAGUUUCCUUAAUGUGUGUGCUUGUAUCUUGAGGAAUUCACGAAUACAUACAUGAUAUACACAUACACAUGUAGGCAACCAAUCGACCAGACAUUUUACCAACCGCCACGGGGUGUGUUGAUAGAAAGAUUUUUCAGUGUCAUCAAUACACGUAAUAAUACAUCACGUGUCACUACACCAAUUGUGGGAUAUGUGUGUUAAAAAGUUAAUAACUUAAAAAAUAAAUUGCUCACAACUUGUAUAAAAACACGUGGUGUACUACUCAUGUUCUGGUCACAAUGAAAAAUUUCUUGUGUUGAUGGUCGACUGCUUGACUCUCGUAUACAAAAACCAAAUCGUUAGUAUCUCGUAUUGUACAUGCCUGACCCAAUUAUGGUACGUCAUGAGAGCAACUCCACCCUUGCUUAUUGUCUUGGGGAUAGGCAACCUAAUACACUCCCCCCUCUUAGAACACUUCAGCCCACUCUGGCAAUUGGGCUCAAGGCAAGCUCGAUCGAGAAGUUAGGCAAUAGUCGCCCAGCGCCCUGCCUAUGUGAUGUAAGUUGAUGUUAGCUAUAAUUUAAAUAAUUAUAAAAAUUAUAAAAAAAACUAAUUAAAAAUAUAAAAAAAUUAUAAUUUUUUUCUAUAAAUACCUAACAAUGUUCUUCCACUUUACACUACAUUCCAAUAUUUUCAAAUACUUUUAAUCAACCUUUUAUUAUUAUCCGAAAUUAAAAAUAAAGUCAUCUUUUAUUAUUUUAAAAUAGAAAAUACUAAUAUUUUAAUACGAAUUGUCUGAGUUAUUCAGCUUAGGAGUAGAUAUGCAUUUGGGCAGUUACGGUUCAUCUAAGGGAAUUGAGUUGUUUAUUGCCCAGAGAGGCCUUACUACACUGGAAGUGCUCGUAUACAUAUAUGAUAUACAUACACAUAUACAUACAGGUAGAUGAGGAUUGAUGAGGAUUAUUUGGAUAAAUAUAAGAAGCUAGAGAGGACAGUCAGGAAGAGGAGGGUGUGUAUUUAAUAGGGCAUGAAUGCUAGCAUGGGCAAGUAUAGGUCUAACCUGAAUUUGUACAUCUUGAGUCUCUUUCCCUUAAUUUAUUUUGGGAAUAGUUUUCUCUGCCAUUAUUUCCUUUCUGGAUUAAAAUCAGUAGCAUCAAAUUAAGAAGGGGCGCCAUAGUAGGUGAGAAACUAAUGCUACUCUGCUUUCAAAACAAUAAAAUAAAUAAAUAAAUAUAAAUUGUCACGCCUUAAAAAUGGGCACGUAACAGUGUCACGCUCUAUUAUUAACACAGUACUAUAGUGUUAAAAUCCAACACUAUAGCACUACAUUCCUAAUAGAACGUAAGGCUAUUUGAGGGGAAUAAAAUAAUUUAUUUUUAAGCAGUAUGGAAGUGGAUAUCAUUUUGGUAAAACGAAGAGUAAAAGGGCAACUGAAUUUGGAUAAAAUUUUUACAUAGGAAAAAAACUUCACAAUCUACAACAAAACCAAAGAGUUUAAGGUAAUUAUCAUACUAAACCGACUCUUUAGUACGAUUUGGAAAGUACAAAGCGCUAGGUUUGGUUACACAAGAUUCCUUCAAGACAGUAAGGGAAUCAGGCAUAUGUUCGAACCAAAAACCUGUGGAAAGUCAAUGAGUGACUAAGAAGUUGACAAGUAACAACAACGCUUGUCCCGACUUUAGUCCAAAUCGUCUAUUCGUAGGUGCACCGAUCCUGUAAUAAAGUAGAUAGGGGUGAGUAUCACAAACGCUCAUCGCUCCCCCUCAGGGAAUCCACCCUAGCUAGGUUUGAAAAUAGUAUACGACACUAUUUAUACUAUAGGAAGAUGAUUGAUGCACAACAAAAGCUUUGUUUAGUUUUGAAAAUAGAUUGUAUGCUCACACAAUUUCUUUUUUAAAAGAAAAAGGGAUCCCAAUAAAUCGCUACAUGCCUAAUGAGCAAUCCAAUGACCAACUACCCCUUACCUGGACCAACUACGAACGAACAUACUUAUGGUAAGGUGUAGCAAGAGUGUCCUUUAAUGCUCUACCCUUAGAUAUCCUAGUACCUCUCCUAGAAAGGUAGUGGUACUAAUCCAUUUGUAGUAGCCCAUUCGAAGGUUUAGGGAAUCGAAACCCAAGAUGGUCGCUAUGCUCCCUUCACUCUCAAGUCAUCACUUUAAUUUGCAGCAUAAAACAACAUGCAUAUCAUGAUAUAAAACAAAACCAUUUUUCCUCAUGGUUCUAUCACAACAAAAUCUAUGUAGCUUUCACAGGCAUUCGUAUAUUUACAUGUACAUACAUUCACAAAAUUCCAUAACUACGGUAAGUGAGGAUCCUCCUACCUGGUCUCCAAACCAAGGAAGCGAUAUUCCUCACCAAUACCUCGAUUCCAAAACUAAAACGAAAAUCCAUGUCACUACUGAAAUAGCUUGACUUCAAGUACUUGAGCAAGCUCCUUGAUCACCAUGUACUUCUUCCAAUUUCUUUUCGAUUCUAAACUCUAUAUAACUAUAUCUAUGUAUGCAUAUAGACUUCAAUCUCUACGUAAACUAAUGCAAGCAUUGCAUGCCAUCCUAUUCUCAUACAAGUGCUUAUCUUGGUUUUGAAGAGAAAUGACGAUGAGCUUGUCCUAUUUAUACUAGUAGGAGACGGUUAGUAAACUUAAUAACCAAGUAAAAAUACUAAUAAAAUAUAGAAACUUAAGACCAGUUCUUAUACUAAUGGCAAUGAGGUGUCAAUUGCAUGGAAUAACCAAAAGACACGUCCACGUAUGUAGCUUCACAUAGUCACUAUGUAUAGUGCUCACUAAGCACUCAUGUCUUCUCACAAAUGGCCACCUGCUGCUUAAAUUUCAUGAGUCACAUACACACAUGUCCUUUGUAAGCAAAUCUAAAGUCAUCUCCUCUUUGUCUUGUCCACUUGGCUAAGCAAUAAAGCUUAGUCAUGUAAUUGUAAGCAUGAAAUCACUUAGCUUGCAACAUGCAUAACGGCUAACAUGGUUGAAAUGUAGAAAACAUCUACAAUACACCCUAAUAUCUCCAAAUAAUAUUAUAAAAAUAUGGGAUCUCACAUAAAUAAAAGAUGGUGUUCUUCCUAUUAAAGGGUCAAAAACAUGUGUUAAUAUUGUGGAGGGAUUUUUCAGUGUCGGGAACACAUUAUGGUAUACUAAGUGUAAUAAUACAAUUGGUUCGAAACUUGAAGAAAGAAAAUUUUCAACCAAUUAGAUUACAACACUUUGUAACUUGGUGUAGCAAACCGUGUUCUCGACACACUGAAACAUUUCUCAAUAUUGUGGUGCAAAACCCUUAGCUUCAAAUUUUGGUUGGGAAUUUGGUGUUGUGUUUAAUUAGUUGGAAUGCCCGGGAACUUAUUGUGAUGAUGUCAAACUCAACAAGGAACCUUAAAACUCAUUACAUUCCUUACAAUUUAGAAAGAAAAAGAAAACAAAACACAAAUUAUGCCUUUUAUUUUGUGAAAUACACAUAGUUGCCCCCACAAAGAUAAUAUGAUAAUGAAUAAAUCAGCUUGAUUGUAAGAUGCUUGUAGUUUAAAUAAUUAUGAGCGUUUAUCUCUACAUUUGAAGGUUUGUGUUCAAAUCUCCACUCUCCAAGUAUUUGACAAAGAAUAAUCAACGUGCUCAUUUUGCAGUAUGAAUAUAUGUACUUAGUAUGAAGAACCAGCAGAUUUCAUAGCCGAUGUUUUGCUUGAUGAUGGGUGUAAAUGUUUAAUUUAUCUAUAUUAGCGCGUGGCACUCUUUUUCAUAGAUUAUACUGAAAGCCCCACAAAGUUUUACCGAGGCGACACAUACACCGUAUCAUUUCAUA